GAUCAACGCUGGCGGCGUGCCUAACACAUGCAAGUCGAACGCGAAAUGGGCUUCGGCCCAAAUCGAGUGGCGAACGGGUGAGUAACGCGUGGGUGAUCUACCUUGGAGUGGGGGAUAACGUUCCGAAAGGGACGCUAAUACCGCAUGACGUUCCGGGUUUGAAGACCUGGAAACCAAAGCUGGGGACCGCAAGGCCUGGCGCUUUGAGAGGAGCCCGCGUCCGAUUAGCUAGUUGGCGGGGUAACGGCCCACCAAGGCGACGAUCGGUAGCCGGCCUGAGAGGGCGGAAGGCCACACUGGGACUGGAACACGGCCCAGACUCCUACGGGAGGCAGCAGUGGGGAAUUGUUCGCAAUGGGCGAAAGCCUGACGACGCAACGCCGCGUGGGGGAUGAAGGUCUUCGGAUCGUAAACCCCUGUCGAGCGGGACGAACGGCUCGCGAUUGAACAGGUCGCGGGAGUGACGGUACCGCUAAAGGAAGCCACGGCUAACUCUGUGCCAGCAGCCGCGGUAAAAC
rnacentral:rRNA from 1 species